rnacentral:rRNA from 1 species
AUCCAAGGAAGGCAGCAGGCGCGCAAAUUACCCACUCCCGGCACGGGGAGGUAGUGACGAAAAAUAACAAUACGGGACUCUUUUGAGACCCCGUAAUUGGAAUGAGUACACUCUAAAUCCUUUCACGAGGAUCCAUUGGAGGGCAAGUCUGGUGCCAGCAGCUGCGGUAAUUCCAGCUCCAAUAGCGUAUAUUAAAGUUGUUGCGGUUAAAAAGCUCGUAGUUGGAUCUCAGUUCCAGGCGGGUGGUCCCCCUACCGGGGGUUACUGCUUGUACUGAACAGCCAGCCGGUUUCUCUUGAUGAUCUUCACCGGUUGUCUUGGGUGACCGGCAAGUUUACUUUGAAAAAAUUAGAGUGCUCAAAGCAGGCGUGACGCCUGAAUAAUGGUGCAUGGAAUAAUGGAAUAGGACCUCGGUUCUAUUUUGUUGGUUUUCGGAACACGAGGUAAUGAUUAAGAGGGACAGACGGGGGCAUUCGUAUUGCGACGCUAGAGGUGAAAUUCUUGGACCGUCGCAAGACGAACUACUGCGAAAGCAUUUGCCAAGAAUGUUUCCAUUAAUCAAGAACGAAAGUUAGAGGUUCGAAGGCGAUCAGAUACCGCCCUAGUUCUAACCAUAAACGAUGCCAGCCAGCGAUCCGGCUGUGUUCCUCAAAUGACACGCCGGGCAGCUUCCGGGAAACCAAAGCUUUUGGGUUCCGGGGGAAGUAUGGUUGCAAAGCUGAAACUUAAAGGAAUUGACGGAAGGGCACCACAAGGAAUGGAGCCUGCGGCUUAAUUUGACUCAACACGGGGAAACUUACCCGGCCCGGACACAGGAAGGAUUGACAGAUUAAGAGCUCUUUCUUGAUUCUGUGGGUUGUGGUGCAUGGCCGUUCUUAGUUGGUGGAGCGAUUUGUCUGGUUAAUUCCGAUAACGAACGAGACUCUAGCCUACUAAAUAGGCGUUCCGAUCAUCUCUGUCGGACGCUCUUCUUAGAGGGACAAACGGCUUCUAGCCGUACGAGACGGAGCAAUAACAGGUCUGUGAUGCCCUUAGAUGUCCGGGGCCGCACGCGCGCUACAUUGAAGGAAUCAGCGUGUGCUUUCCCUGUCCGACAGGACUGGGUAACCCGUUGAACCUCCUUCGUGCUGGGGAUAGCAAAUUGCAAUUGUUUUGCUUGAACGAGGAAUUCCUCGUAAGCGCGAAUCAUUAAUUCGUGUUGAUUAGGUCCCUGCCCUUUGUGCACACCGCCCGUCGCUACUACUGAUUGAAUGAUUUAGUGAGGUCUUCGGACUGGCUCCCUCAGCGGCCCUCGUGGUCGCGGAGGCGAUUCGGAAAGAUGACCAAACUUGAUCAUUUAGAAGAAGUAAA